UACGGAGGGUGCAAACGUUGCUCGGAAUCAUUGGGCGUAAAGAGCGCGCAGGCGGUCGUUCAAGUCGAGUGUGAAAGCCCCCGGCUCAACUGGGGAGGGUCACUUGAUACUGAUCGACUCGAAGGCAGGAGAGGGAAGCGGAAUUCCCGGUGUAGUGGUGAAAUGCGUAGAUAUCGGGAGGAACACCAGUGGCGAAGGCGGCUUCCUGGCCUGUUCUUGACGCUGAGGCGCGAAAGCUAGGGGAGCAAACGGG
rnacentral:rRNA from 1 species